rnacentral:rRNA from 1 species
GAUGAACGCUGGCGGCGUGCUUAACACAUGCAAGUCGAACGAACCUUCGGGUUAGUGGCGGACGGGUGAGUAACGCGUGAGAAUCUGCCCUCAGGAGGGGGACAACAGUUGGAAACGACUGCUAAUACCCCAUAUGCCGCGAGGUGAAAUGAAUUUCGCCUGAGGAUGAGCUCGCGUCUGAUUAGCUAGUUGGUGUAGGUAAUGGCUCACCAAGGCAUCGAUCAGUAGCUGGUCUGAGAGGAUGAUCAGCCACACUGGGACUGAGACACGGCCCAGACUCCUACGGGAGGCAGCAGUGGGGAAUUUUCCGCGAUGGGCGAAAGCCUGACGGAGCAACGCCGCGUGAGGGAUGAAGGCCUCUGGGCUGUAAACCUCUUUUAUCAAGGAAGAAGAUCUGACGGUACUUGAAUGAAUAAGCCACGGCUAAUUCCGUG